CGUAGGCAGCAAGCGUUGUUCGGAGUUACUGGGCGUAAAGGGUGUGUAGGCGGUCCUCUAAGUUUGGUGUGAAAUCUCCCGGCUCAACCGGGAGGGUGCGCCGAAAAACUGGAGGGCUAGAGUGCGGGAUGGGAGAGUGGAAUUCCUGGUGUAGCGGUGAAAUGCGUAGAUAUCAGGAGGAACACCGGUGGUGUAGACGGCUCUCUGGACCGCGACUGACGCUGAGACACGAAAGCGUGGGUAGCAAACAGGAUUAGAUACCCUGGUAGUCCACGCCCUAAACGAUGCAUAUUUGGUGUGGGUCAUUCAUUUGAUCCGUGCCGGAGCUAACGCGUUAAAUAUGCCGCCUGGGGAUACAGUCGCAAGGCUG
rnacentral:rRNA from 1 species